rnacentral:rRNA from 1 species
UACGGGGGGGGCAAGCGUUGUUCGGAAUUACUGGGCGUAAAGGGCUCGUAGGCGGCCAUCUAAGUCGGACGUGAAAUCCCCAGGCUCAACCUGGGAACUGCAUCCGAUACUGGAUGGCUUGAAAUCGGGAGAGGGAUGCAGAAUUCCAGGUGUAGCGGUGAAAUGCGUAGAUAUCUGGAGGAAUACCGGUGGCGAAGGCGGCAUCCUGGACCGACAUUGACGCUGAGGAGCGAAAGCUAGGGGAGCAAACGGG